AUAAUGUCUAGAUGCUUUUAACAGUGGAGAUCAAGUUUAUAAAUUGCCUGGCUGGGCUGAUGAGACAGUGGAUGGCACAGACAGAUGGAAUAAUGAAUAGGCAUUUCAGUGUCAUAGUUUUAGCUGUUGGUAAUUUGUGGAAUAGACACUGGCUGGAACUUGGUUUUAACCAAUCAGCAUCUAGAAUUAGACCCACCCGUUGUAUAAUGUGUAUUAUGCACUCGGCCAAUUUCUGAGUUUAGCCUUGAAAUCUGGCAUUACACACACCCCCUAGCAACAUUGUCUCACUUUAUGUUUUGUUUCUGCAAAUGAAUGUUUUGUCCUAUUGUCAAUAGAUUGCAUGUUUGCUAGACAAAUGAAAGUGUGUCUUUAGUGAUGUUUUGGGCAGGAAAGAAUGCCUUUCAAAAGGGAUUGUGGUUACCAGGCAACAAGGACAAAAAACAAUCCGAGGCUGAAGGAACAAACCAAGGUUUUUUUUUCUUAUUCUUUGCUUUUCUGUGUUGCUCUCUCUCACUCUAUCACACUCCCUCUGCCUCACUUUCUCUCUCUUACACGCAUUGCUAUGCCUGGAACCAAAAUCCUCUCCCAAUCGGAUUUGACCAUGGAGAAGAGUCUUAGCCCAGUUCUUAUGCUCACGUGUGGGAUUUAUGUCCAACUGAAAUAGAAAAGAGCGCUUACGUACACUGGACAAGGUAUUGGGCUGCUACCAAAAUCUCAAAAGGUUUGCAUUGUGGGAUUGGAAGCCCAACUGGAUGCUGUGUUGACCUAAUUCAGGAGAUAAGAAGGGUUCAAACACAGUGGGCCUACUGACUGGGUGAGGUGAAGGUUUCAAACACAGUGGGCCUACUGACUGGGUGAGGUGAAGGUUUCAAACACAGUGGGCCUACUGACUGGGUGAGGUGAAGGUUUCAAACACAGUGGGCCUACUGACUGGGUGAGGUGAAGGUUUCAAACACAGUGGGCCUACUGACUGGGUGAGGUGAAGGUUUCAAACACAGUGGGCCUACUGACUGGGUGAGGUGAAGGGUUCAAACACAGUGGGCCUACUGACCGGGUGCUGCGCAACAUACACAAACAACAGAAAUCUCCUUUGAUGAGGAAUUUACAAAGUGCCUUUGGGGCUUUCACAACUCGUGGCGAAGCACCAACAUGUAAACACCUCCAUCAGUCUGAACAGUUCAUUACACCAACAUGUAAACACCUCCAUCAGUCUGAACAGCACCAGCAUGUAAACACCUCCAUCAGUCUGAACAGUUAAUUACACCAACAUGUAAACGCCUCCAUCAGUCUGAACAGUUAAUUACACCAACAUGUAAACACCUCCAUCAGUCUGAACAGUUAAUUACACCAGCAUGUAAACACCUCCAUCAGUCU
rnacentral:lncRNA from 1 species